rnacentral:rRNA from 1 species
UUUUUGUAUGAGCUUAAAUUUAAAUUAUAAAAAUCAUUUAUAACUGUUUAAAUGAAGUAUUUAUUAUAAAAUCAUUAUUUUUAAACUAUAGAGAAGAGUAUCGUAAGAGAACGUUGAAAUAUAACACUAAUUAAGAGGAAAAAAUAUUUGUGCCUUGUGUAUCAGAAAUACUUUAAAUAGUCAAAAUAUAAUUUGCGUUCUCGAAAUAAAAAGAGCUAAGGGUCUAAGACUUUACGUGUUAAAGUAAUUCUUAAUUGAUUUUUAGAAAUGAUAUGUUAGUCGCGUUUUAUAUAUCUAGUUUCUCCAGAAUUAAAUUUAAUUUAGCUUUAAAAUUUAAUUUAUUUUAAAUUAAAGACCAGGUGGGCUGAGCUUCUUGGUAUAAACUUAUACGGUACUCAGUUUUUUUCUUAGAAUAAUAGGCUUAAAAGUUGCCAUUUAUAUAAAGUGUUCAAACUAUAACUUUUUCACAUAAAAUAUUGUAGUUCCUAUAAUAAAGUACGGGGAUAUUUUUUGAAAAUUUAUUUUCUAAGUAAUAAUGAGUAUAUUAGUAAAUAUUUGUGUAAUAUGGUUAUUGUAGAUUAAGGAUCUCUUUUAAUUUUGAAUUGAUGCUGCCAAGGAACUUGGCAAAUAUGGAUCUUGCCUGUUUAUCAAAAACAUGUCUGUGCGAGUAAUAUUCACAGUCUGGCCUGCCCACUGAUUAAUUUUAAAGGGCUGCGGUAUCUUGACCGUGCGAAGGUAGCAAAAUAGUUAGUCUUUUAAUUGGAGGCUGGAAUGAACGGUCGGACAAAGAACCAACUGUCUCGGUAGUAAUUAUUAAAUUUAACUUUCUGGUGAAAAGGCCAGGAUGACCUGGGGGGACAACAAGACCCUGUAAAACUUUACAUUGAAUUAGUAAAGCUAGAACUAUUUGUGACAAUGGUUGUACUAAUUAUAUUUGUUUUGUUGGGGCGACAUGAGUAUAAUUAACUAACUGCUCUAAGAAAAAACAAUUAUUUUUGUUAUAUGAAUGAUCCUUUAUGUUAAGAUUUAAAGAAAAAGUUACUUCAGGGAUAACAGCGUUAUUUUUUUUGAGAGUUCUUAUCGACAAAAUAGAUUGCGACCUCGAUGUUGAAUUAAAAUUUUCUUAUAGUGUAGCAGCUAUGAAGAAAGGUCUGUUCGACCUUUAAAUUUUUACAUGAUUUGAGUUCAAGCCGGCGCGAGCCAGGCUGGUUUCUAUCUCCCAGAUAAGACUAGAUUACUUUAGUACGAAAGGAUUAAGUAGUCAAAAAACUUUUUUUAAUAGAAUAUUUAUAUUGAUUUGGCUGAAGGGCAAUAGGAUUAAUACCUAUAUCUGAAUAAU